AGGCCCUAUGGGGCGCAGCAGGCGAGAAAACUUUGCAAUGUGCGAAAGCACGACAAGGUUAAUCCGAGUGGUUUCUGCUAAAGGAACCUUUUGUUAGUCCUAGAAACACUAACGAAUAAGGGGUGGGCAAGUUCUGGUGUCAGCCGCCGCGGUAAAACCAGCACCCCAAGUGGUCAGGAUGAUUAUUGGGCCUAAAGCAUCCGUAGCCGGCUCUGUAAGUUUUCGGUUAAAUCUGUACGCUCAACGUACAGGCUGCCGGGAAUACUGCAGAGCUAGGGAGUGGGAGAGGUAGACGGUACUCGGUAGGAAGGGGUAAAAUCCUUUGAUCUAUUGAUGACCACCUGUGGCGAGGGCGGUCUACCAGAACACGUCCGACGGUGAGGGAUGAAAGCUGGGGGAGCAAACCGGAUUAGAUACCCGGGUAGUCCCAGCUGUAAACUAUGCAAACUCAGUGAUGCAUUGGCUUGUGGCCAAUGCAGUGCUGCAGGGAAGCCGUUAAGUUUGCCGCCUGGGAAGUACGUACGCAAGUAUGAAACUUAAAGGAAUUGGCGGGGGAGCACCACAAGGGGUGAAGCCUGCGGUUCAAUUGGAGUCAACGCCAGAAAUCUUACCCGGAGGGACAGCAGAAUGAAGGUCAAGCUGAAGACUUUACCAGACAAGCUGAGAGGUGGUGCAUGGCCGUCGCCAGCUCGUGCCGUGAGAUGUCCUGUUAAGUCAGGUAACGAGCGAGAUCCCUGCCUCUAGUUGCCACCAUUACUCUCGGGAGUAGUGGGGCGAAUUAGCGGGACCGCCGCAGUUAAUGCGGAGGAAGGAAGGGGCCACGGCAGGUCAGUAUGCCCCGAAACUCUGGGGCCACACGCGGGCUGCAAUGGUAAUGACAAUGGGUUCCAAAUCCGAAAGGAGGAGGUAAUCCUCAAACAUUACCACAGUUAUGACUGAGGGCUGCAACUCGCCCUCACGAAUAUGGAAUCCCUAGUAACUGCGUGUCAUUAUCGCGCGGUGAAUACGUCCCUGCUCCUUGCACACACCGCCCGUCGUUUCAUUGAGGUGAGCUUUUAGCGAGGUGACGUCUGAUUGGCGUUAUCGAACUUGAG
rnacentral:rRNA from 1 species